rnacentral:rRNA from 1 species
ACCCUGGGGAUAACAGGCUUAUCUCCCCCAAGACUCCACAUCGACGGUGACGUUAUGCACCUCGAUGUCGGCUCCUCACAUCCCGGGGCUGUUGUACGUCCCAAGGCUUGGGCUGUUCGCCCAUUAACGUGGUACGCGAGCUGGGUUCAGAACGUCGUGAGACAGUUCGGUCCCUAUCCGUCGCAGGCGUAGGAAAUUUGAGAAGACCUGUCCUUAGUACGAGAGGACCGGGAUGGACGUACAUCUGGUGUACCAGUUGUCCUGCCAAGGGCAUGGCUGGGUAGCUAUGUACGGAAUGGAUAAGCGCUGAAAGCAUCUAAGCGCGAAGCCAACUUCAAGAUAAGAUUUCCCACCGCAAGGGUAAGACCCCAGAAAGACUAUCUGGUUGAUAGGUCGAAGGUGUAAGUGCAGCAAUGUAUUUAGCUUAUCGAUACUAAUAGGUCGAGGACUUGACCAAU